AUGAAGGGGAGGCUGAGAUUGAAGCAGUCUCAUGAGAAAGGCCAAACCCAUAUUAUUUGAUAACAUCAAAGGGAGGGGCCGGCGUGACCAAGAAUGAGCACAGCACCGAGCCAUACAGCCUGACAGUCCUGCCUGUCAGUUCUCACCAGGCAAGGUCCUUAGACCCUGCGACCUUUGAGACGGGACAUGGGAACUGCCAUUCAUGGGAGUGCCAAGGAGAACAAGAGGACUGGAAAACAGUUUUAAGUGACACACCCACAUUCUGACAUUGGGACAGGGUGACAUUCUGUGCCUGUUCAUGUCCUAUAUCAGCAACACACAAUGGCCGGGAAGGCAGGAUGUGCGGUGCUAACUCAAUGCCAGACUCGAGGCUCCAUGAAAUUCUCCUAAGGAUCAUUCACUUUCUCUGAGGCACUUCUCAGCAGCUUCACGCAAAACCCACUGACUUUAAGACUAGACAGAAAGCUACGGAGCAACCAAGCGCACCACUCGGCCCCGGUGUUUUCAUUUUGGAUGUCUACUUGCAAACUUGAAGGUGGAUAUAAAAAGAUGCUUUUAACUCUUUUAAAUGUUUAAUCCAAACUGCUCUGAAGACUCUCCCUGGCUCAAACUCACACUGCCUAUUCCAGUUGGAGUAAACUGAAUUAAUAAAUACUGAAUAUUGCCUUUUAUAGCUUAUCACGAAAUAAUUUUCUUCUCAAAUCCAUGCCUUAAAAGUUUCUGUUUAUCUUAGUGUAUUUUUUCUAUUCUUUUUUUUUUUAAUUUAUUCAUUUAUUUUAGAACGGGAUUGCGACUUCUUCAUACACGUGCGGGCAAGUGCACUGCCAUGAAGCUCUAUUUUCAGUCUCUCUUAGUAUAUUUUGAGAAUGCAAUACUUCCUUUCUUUCUCCUCUUCUCCCUCCCUUCCCUUCUGCAGAAUGACCCUAGGAUCCUGCACGGAAGGCAAGCAUUCCACAACUAAGCCUAGUUCACCAGCCUGGGAAUAAAAUGUGUUCUAGAGAAAUGUUUAAAAUAAUAGAGGUUUGGGGAAUAAGAGUGUUCAAAGGUCACACGGUCCCUCUGUCGUGGCACUGUAGUGACAUUUUUAUGCAUGCAGGAAUGCUGUCGCUCAGGACUCCUGAGAAGGCCAACCACAGCAUAUACCACAUCACAUCUUCUUGGGUCUCCCUUGGCCAGUGUAUAAGGAAAAGAUCAAGCCUGUGCAGAGCUGGAGGGACACCAAGCACAGGACUGUGCUGUGCUUGUCAACCUGUGCUUGAUGGACAGAUGUGGAGGCAAUACCUUUGUUCUGUGCACACCACAGGAGAGGCUCCGUUAUAAUUCAAUUCAGAAAGAGACUUAACUGUGCUAAUUGGCGUUUGAAAGAUACCUGGCUCAGGCUGGAAGACUUGGUGUGUCAGGGGGGUACCCAGAAGCCACGGGGACUCAUCUUACACAGGCAGGCCUGGAGCACACAAUGCCCGGAUACUGCCAAGGGCAUAGCAGCUGGUGUAAUCAAUGACAGGUCAGCAACCGGAUGUCAAUUAGGGGGAGGAAAGGAGCACAAACUGGGGUCUCUGAGCCAGCCCUGGCAUGCAGAGAAUGUUGCCGGGGGGCCUUGGGUAGACACAGCAGGUAGGCAGUCGUCCCCUAAAAUCCCAGCCGGAGCCAACCAACAAAACAACCGGAAGAACUUAGCCUGGCUGUAACAGGCACUGCACAGGACGCUGGAGCAACAGGAAGGCUGUCAGCCACCCAGCCUGGAAAUAGCAGGAGUGCGGCUCAGGCUGCCGCCUUCCCCCACAGCGGCGAUUCCCGAACUCUGCGACUGUUAGUUGUUGUUUUGGACAGCUGAUACCGGUCAUGCACCGACGUGUUUUCAAAGCUCAGUUCUGGUCUGAGGCCGUUGUCAGUUUGAUUCACUUUUCCAAGAAACCAAACAAGAUCCCGGCUGUGGAACAUGGGAUAUUCGAAGGUUCUAUUCUUGGCAUUCAGAAAAAUAAACAGCAUUUGGCUUUGGGACG